rnacentral:rRNA from 1 species
CCCUAUGGGUCGUAAACUGCUUUUGAACAAGAGAAAACCCUCCUACGUGUAGGAGGCUGAUAGUAUUGUUAGAAUAAGCAUCGGCUAACUUCGUGC